rnacentral:misc_RNA from 1 species
GAUGAAGAACGCAGCGAAAUGCGAUAAGUAAUGUGAAUUGCAGAAUUCAGUGAAUCAUCGAAUCUUUGAACGCACAUUGCGCCCCUUGGUAUUCCGAGGGGCAUGCCUGUUCGGGCGUCAUUAUAACCCUCAAGCUCAGCUUGGUGUUGGGGCCUGCUGCACUGGCAGCCCUUAAAAUCAGUGGCGGCGCCAUCUGGCUCUAAGCGUAGUAAUUCUUCUCGCUAUGGAGUCCUGGUGGAUGCUUGCCAUCAACCCCCAAUUUUUCUAUGGUUGACCUCGGAUCAGGUAGGGAUACCCGCUGAACUUAAGCAUAUCAAUAAGCGGAGGA